rnacentral:rRNA from 1 species
GAUGAACGCUGGCGGCGUGCCUAAUACAUGCAAGUCGAGCGAACAAACGAGGAGCUUGCUCCUCUGACGUUAGCGGCGGACGGGUGAGUAACACGUGGAUAACCUACCUAUAAGACUGGGAUAACUUCGGGAAACCGGAGCUAAUACCGGAUAAUAUAUUGAACCGCAUGGUUCAAUAGUGAAAUACGGUUUUGCUGUCACUUAUAGAUGGAUCCGCGCCGCAUUAGCUAGUUGGUAAGGUAACGGCUUACCAAGGCAACGAUGCGUAGCCGACCUGAGAGGGUGAUCGGCCACACUGGAACUGAGACACGGUCCAGACUCCGACGGGAGGCAGCAGUAGGGAAUCUUACGCAAUGGGCGAAAGCCUGACGGAGCAACGCCGCGUGAGUGAUGAAGGUCUUCGGAUCGGAAAACUCUGUUAGUAGGGAAGAACAAAUGUGUAAGUAACUAUGCACGUCUUGACGGUACCUAAUCAGAAAGCCACGGCUAACUACGUG